AGGGGUUUGGUAUCAUGGGCUCAGAAUGAACGUUGGCGGCGUGGAUUAGGCAUGCAAGUCGAGCGAGAAGCUUUCCUUCGGGAAAGUGGAAAGCGGCGUAAGGGAGAGUAAUGCGUGGACUACCUACCCCCGGGCCCGGGAUAGCUGCGGGAAACUGCAGGUAAUACCGGAUAAUGUCCCCGGACCAAAGGUGUGAUUCCUCCCGGGGAGGGGUUCACGUCCUAUUAGCUUGUUGGUGGGGUAACGGCCUACCAAGGCGACGAUGGGUAGCGGGUGUGAGAGCAUGGCCCGCCUCACUGGGACUGAGACACUGCCCAGACACCUACGGGUGGCUGCAGUCGAGAAUCUUCGGCAAUGGGCGAAAGCCUGACCGAGCGACGCCGCGUGUGGGAUGAAGGCCUUCGGGUUGUAAACCGCUGUCAGAGGGGAUGAAAGGCUAGGGGGUUAUCCCCCUAGUUUGACACAUCUUCAGAGGAAGUACGGGCUAAGUUCGUGCCAGCAGCCGCGGUAAGACGAACCGUACGAACGUUAUUCGGAAUUACUGGGCUUAAAGGGUGCGUAGGCGGCAUGGCAAGUUGGGUGUGAAAUCCCUCGGCUCAACCGAGGAAUAGCGCCCAAAACUGCCUUGCUUGAGGGAGACAGAGGUGAGCGGAACUACGGGUGGAGCGGUGAAAUGCGUUGAUAUCCGUAGGAACACCGGUGGCGAAAGCGGCUCACUGGGUCUCUUCUGACGCUGAGGCACGAAAGCUAGGGUUAGCGAACGGGAUUAGAU
rnacentral:rRNA from 1 species